rnacentral:rRNA from 1 species
GUGGCUAACCUACCCCCAGGACGGGGACAAACCCGGGAAACUGGGGCUAAUAUCCGAUAGGCGAGGAAUCCUGGAAUGGUUCUUCACCCAAAGGACAUUGGAAACAUGCUUUCUUUGUCGCCUGGGGAUGGGGCCGCGACCGAUCAGGUUGUUGGUGAGGUAAUGGCUCACCAAGCCUUUAACCGGUACGGGCCGUGAGAGCGGUAGCCCGGAGAUGGGUACUGAGACAAGGACCCAGGCCCUACGGGGCGCAGCAGUCGCGAAAACUCCGCAAUGCACGAAAGUGUGACGGGGCUACCCCGAGUGCCAUCCGCUGAGGAUGGCUUUUCCUUGGUAUAACUAGCCGAGGGAAUAAGGAGAGGGCAAGACUGGUGUCAGCCGCCGCGGUAAUACCAGCUCUCCGAGUGGUAGGGAUGAUUAUUGGGCUUAAAGCGUCCGUAGCCGGCUUAGCAAGUCUCCUGUUAAAUUCAGCGACCUAAUCGUUGAUCCGCGGGAGAUACUACUAGGCUAGGAGGCGGGAGAGGUCGACGGUACUUCUGGGGUAGGGGUGAAAUCCUAUAAUCCCAGGAGGACCACCAGUGGCGAAGGCUGUCGACUAGAACGCGCUCGACGGUGAGGGACGAAAGCUGGGGGAGCGAACCGGAUUAGAUACCCGGGUAGUCCCAGCCGUAAACGAUGCGGGCUAGGUGUUGGGGUGGCUACGUGCCACUUCAGUGCCGCAGGGAAGCCAUUAAGCCCGCCGCC